AAUUAGCCCCGAUUGAGUCGAUAUCCUCGCAGUGAAACGGAGAGAUAAAGACGAAAGCGGGAACUGUU
rnacentral:misc_RNA from 1 species